UUUUCUUUUUUUAAUUUCCAUAGAACGUACCUUGUGUUACUGGGUCAUUGGGACUGGCUCCACACGCAAUGAGUAUCCUUAAAUCAUCCUAGAAAACAAAGGAAUCAACUGAACUUCUCCAUCGUAGCUCGGUUGGCAUUUCUCCGUCGCAACAUCAUUGGAAGCGGUGCCCAGAGACAGCAGCACAUGAUGCAGACACCGCCGACGAUGUGAAAACAAACAGCAAAACUUUGCGUUAACACCUGAAUAUAGCCUGCAACCGGUUGGAUAAGUUAAGACCGAAAGCGGCUGCUAGUUUAUCCAUACCAAGUGUUUGGACAAUCACCACCACUUGCAUACCAGUGAUUCCUCCAACUCCAAUGCCGUAGAUAACGCAGCUUAUUACCAUGCCAACGAAAUCAGUGGAAAAUGCCAGAGCUAAAAGGUACAAUGAUAGAUGGCAAAUUCGAUUAAAAAGACGGUGAGAGUCGUAAUAUAUUUGGAAAAUUUUCCAGCCAGAAUGGGAAUAGCAAGACGGGCAACAGUAUCUGACGCUGCUAGAAUGGUAACCAAAGAUGCAGCCGCUGUUGGUGGAACCCCCACACUUUGAGCAAAUGACGGGACCAGGACGUUGAACUGCUGAUUUAAAUCGAGGAUGCUAGCAGCCGGUGGACAACGAGGCAUGAAUUGGAGCCAUUUUGGUCGUUCGUCAGUUUGCGUGCGAGUCUUCAACUGUUUUUGCAUCUGCGCUAGCGACAUAG